GCUGGACGCGGUGGCGCGUGCCUAUAGUCCCAGCUACUCUGGAGGCUGAGGUGGGAGGAUCACUUGAGCCCAGGAGUUCUGGGCUGUAGUGUGCUAUGCCGAUCGAUUGUCUGCACUAAGUUUGGCAUCGAUAUGGUGAUCUCUGGGGAGCGGGGGACCACCAGGUUGCCUAAGGAGGGGUGAACCGGCCCGGGUUGGAAACAGAGCAGGUCAAAACUCCGGUGCUGAUCAGUAGUGGGACUGCGCCUGUGAAUAGCCACUGCACUCCAGCCCCAGCAGCAUAGCGAGAUCCUGUCUCU
rnacentral:SRP_RNA from 1 species